rnacentral:tRNA from 1 species
GCGCCCAUCGUCUAGCGGUUAGGACGCCGCCCUCUCACGGCGGAAACACGGGUUCGAGUCCCGUUGGGCGUACCA